rnacentral:rRNA from 1 species
GACGAACGCUGGCGGCGUGCUUAACACAUGCAAGUCGUACGGUAAGGCCCUUUCGGGGGUACACCAGUGGCGAACGGGUGAGUAACACGUGAGUAACCUGCCCACAACUUUGGGAUAACGCUAGGAAACUGGUGCUAAUACUGGAUAUGUGCCCCUGCUGCAUGGUGGGGGUUGGAAAGCUCCGGCGGUUGUGGAUGGACUCGCGGCCUAUCAGCUUGUUGGUGGGGUAGUGGCCUACCAAGGCGGCGACGGGUAGCCGGCCUGAGAGGGUGACCGGCCACAUUGGGACUGAGAUACGGCCCAGACUCCUACGGGAGGCAGCAGUGGGGAAUAUUGCACAAUGGGCGCAAGCCUGAUGCAGCAACGCCGCGUGCGGGAUGACGGCCUUCGGGUUGUAAACCGCUUUCAGCAGGGACGAAGCUUUUUGUGACGGUACCUGCAGAAGAAGCACCGGCUAACUACGUG